ACCUGGCUGGCUCAGUUGGUAAGAGCAUGUGACUCUUAAUCUCAGGGUCAUGAGUUCAAGUCCCACCUUGGAUG
rnacentral:tRNA from 1 species